rnacentral:rRNA from 1 species
UUACCNGCUUAAAUGGACAGAGAUUUUUCGAACCAAGGUGCUGCAUGGUUGUCGUCAGCUCGUGCCGUGAGGUGUCGGGUUAAGUCCCAUAACGAGCGCAACCCUAUUUUAGUUACCAGCGUACGGGACUCUAGAAAACUGCCUGUGCAACAGGAGGAAGGUGGGGAUGACGUCAAAUCAUCACGGCCCUUAUGCUGGGCUACACACGUGCUACAAUGGACUACAUGUGGCAUGGUGACAAGAGCAAUCAAUAAAGUAUCUCAGUUCGGAUUGGAGUCUGCAACUCGACUCUAUGAAGUUGGAUUCGCUAGUAAUCGUAAUCAGCAUGUACGGUGAAUACGUUCCCGGGCCUUGUACACACCGCCCGUCAAGCCAUGGAAGUUUGGGACCGAA